CAGAGUGGGUCAAUUGCGAACUCGCAGAUCGGACUGCAAAACGGCAGAAGGUAAAAUGCACACUUUCUGUGCCGGUUGAGUUCUUUUAGAAGCGCGAGUGGAACGCGAACUUGGAGACUCGAUGGAAGUCAGAACUAUUUCCUCUCAACUUGACACUCUAUAAGAGUUUCAGUUCCCGAUUUAGCUGCUUGGCCCUUGACCCUUGAAGGUUAGCCGCUAGCUAGCUGGGGAAUAACCUGGAGCACGUAGCAGCUAGCUAGCUGUUUAACGUAUAUUCCACAGGAGCUGGUAAAAUAAAGUGAGAGUGAAUACUGGAAUUAUAUAUAAUAAGCUACAAAAAAGCAAGACCUAAAUGAACGUGUCUCUAUAACAAAUGGACAAUAAACAACGGUGAACAACAUUUCAUUAAAAAAAGACUACCGUUAGUCCAGACGGCUUGGCGAACAAAUAAUUGCCGGUCGUCUUAUCAGCUGUCAAGCAAAGAGGCUUUUCAGAGGCGUUCACGCGGUGCAGAUGCCCUUUCCAUCAUGGCAGGAUCUUGCUCCUGAUGUCCCCUUUGUCACUGUGACUGACGGCAUCGAGGGCAAGAGCAGGAGGGGUCACCCGCUCCCUGACGCAGGACCACCUGUCAGAGUCAGCGGCGCUCAACUGAUGACGUUUAAGAUCAAACUCGGGGGCAGUGGACUUCACUUCAAGGAUGAAUGCCUCAUAAACUCAGCGGCGGAGCAUUCAUUAGCACCAUUAGACCCAAACUUUCAAAGGGGGGGCCGUGCCAUUGACCCGAAUGGAGCGAAUUUGGUCGGAAUCAUCACUCACCCAAUGUCCAGUGUUUGAUCCUUUCCUCGGGGGUCCUACUUGUCGACAUUUUUUUUGGGCUGAUGGCCCAUAUCUGCUUUUUACGGUGGUCCCUUGCCUUCCGGAGGAAGUUCAGCGAAGCAGGAAAUUGAAAAAGGUGGUGCAACCAGAUUGAAAGCCCAUCACCUUUAUUAAGCCUUGUUUGCGCAGACAGAAAAGUGAGCGUGUUCAUUUCACGCCUAAAGUUACAAGUGUCAGCUGCAGCCGUUUUCUACUUAACCGGGAAUGGGGAGCCGAGACGGAGCUGCUGUUAUCGUCGCUGGCCUUUUAACAGGUGUGGCGGAUCACUAGAACAUCACCUCGGCGAGCUUGCCCGUUGAUGUACGGCUUAUUUUGCACUCCAAGUCAGCAAUCAACAUAACCGGAGAGGAAUUUUAUGUUGAUACGCCGGUAAAAAUCUCCCUGUGAUCCCGAUGAAUCAACCUCAGUAGAAACAGGAUCAGAGUAUUUCAGAGGAACACGAAAUCACAGCGACAUCGGUGAAACUUGCACUUCAGGAAUGAUUCUCUUUUCCUGCAGUGUCGUUGUUAAUAUUAUCUUUUGACGUCUCGCUGUGGAGGCAUAUUAGCAACAAGGGGAAGACAGCCAGCUGCAACAGUGGUCCGAAGUCACCCUGUGAGAACCCCGCAGAACCCCACACUUAGACAAGAAGCGGGGGCCAUGAGGGACGGGGAUUUAAAAGUGGGUCACGAAAAGAACGUCGAGGGGCCGCUGUGGAAAAAAAAUAAAUAAGAAAAAAGUAAUUUGCUGAGAAUUGAAUUUCUCAUGAUGCUUGAGGGAAAUGGAGCUGUCAAAAGUAUUCCAGUCGUGCGAGAGCCGCACUUUCUACGAC
ensembl:lncRNA